AUGGGGUACCCCCAGCACUGCGGGGUACCCCCAGCACCGCGGGGUGCCCGCAGCCUCCCAUUCCGGGACCUCCCCUCCCCGCAGCCCCCCAAACCCGGGACCCCCCCAGAUCCCCCCGGGACCCCCCCUCCCCUCCAGCCGCCGUUCGCCGGCCCGGCCGGGCCCCGACGGAGCGCAGCCCCCGCUCCAGCGCCGCUCCCCCCGCUCCGUCUCUCUCCCUACCGGGAUGCCCGGAGCCCCUCCGACACCCCCGGGGGCUCCUUUGGGGCUGCAGCAACCCUUCGGUGGGCCCCGUCCCGCCGCCGGAGCCGCUCCCGGGCCCACCGCCCCUCACCUCGGCGGGCCGAGCCGUGCCGUGCCGUGCCGAGCCGUACCGAGCCGUGCCGGACCUCUGGGCUGCAACCGGGCCCCUCCGCGGGGCCGCGCUCCCGGGCCCGGCGGCUCUGGGCUUGCAGCGCUGCCCCGCCGCUGCCGCGGGGCCGAGGGCCGAGGGCGGGCCGGCGGCGGGGCCGGGGCGGGGCGGCGGCGGGCGGGGAUCGCCCCCGGCCCGACCCGGGACUGGCACCGGCGGCCGCCGCCACCGCCCGGCACCGCCCCCGGCACCGCCCCGACGGGAUCCCGCUCCCCGCCUCGACGCCAGCGGGACCCCCCCGGGGUGCCCCCCGGUCCCGGUGGGAUCACGAAGCUGGGUGCCCCCCACCCUCGCCUCCUCCUCCCCGGUUGGGGGACCCUCGCUCUUUGCACCCCGGGGGACGAGGGGUGCCCCGAGCGCACACAGCUUGGGCUGGGGGUCUCCCUACCCGGCUCCCACCCCCCCAGAACUGGGGACCCCCCGUGCCGCUUGCCCUGGCCAAGCUCCCCAGGCCCAGCCCUGCCGGGGGGCUGGCAGCCUUCGUCUCGUUUUCAGGCUGCUCCUUUUCCUGCCAGAUUUCUUCCCCGCCUGCUUUGCACGCUGGCGAGGUCUGGGCCCGUUCUCCAUCCCGCAGGGACCCUCGGCAGUUUCGUGCCAUAAAGCCUGCCCUCGCUCUCUGCUACAGUCUGGAUUCGCCUGCUGAGUCCCUCAGCACCGAUUUCGUGUUUCUUUUUCCUCUCCAGCAGGAUCCGUCCCCAGCUGCUGAACCCCUGGGUAUUUUUCCACGGGAGGCUCUUCCGUCAUGCUGCUCACGGGAAGAGCAGGAGAAACAAGACGUGCUUCCCGACAUCCCUCCCAGCUGGCAGCUUGGGGACUUCCUGACAAAAGGUUUGCAUCCGGACGGAAAUACCUUAAUAGCCCUAAUGGCUGUACCUCUCCCGACAGACACCAGCCCUCUCCAGUCCAUUUACAUACUUGGCCUCUCCGGCAUCCUGUGGUAA
rnacentral:lncRNA from 1 species